rfam:Myotis davidii contig120926, whole genome shotgun sequence.
AGACCUGCAGAGAGAGGGGCAGGGUCUGAUCCGCAGCCUCCAUGGCAGCUGUUGAUCAGUCAUUGCCUCCCUUUCUCUCUGGG